rnacentral:lncRNA from 1 species
GUGUUUACUUCAUUUAGAGACACUUGGGGGUAAUCUGAAAAUGUCACUCUGUCUGUUCACCACUUUGUUCAGACAUGGUCCUAAGAGGAUGAUUUUUGUCUAGCACCACAAUGAGGUUGACAUUUUUGUUUUGAGUGAAAUAUCUUGACAUCUAUUGGAUACACUGACAUUAAAUUUGCUCCAUAUAUUUCAGGUCUAUCCAUCCAUUUUCUUCCAUCUAUACAAUUCAGGGUUGCAGGAAGGGGUUGGACCGUAUCCCAGUCAUCAUAGGACCAGAGGCAGGAAACACAACGACAGGUGGCCAGUCUGUCGCAUAUUAAGACAGACAAGCAUUCACGCUCACACCUAAAGUCAAUUUAAAUAUCACCAAAUAAUCCAAGGUGGGUUCUUUAAAAUAGGUGGGUUCCCUAUCAGAGAAUCUGCAAAGAACCAUGCACACUCCACACAUAAAGGCCCCAGGCUAGAUCAGUAGCCGGGUGCUAACAACAUACCAUUGUGUUACCCCAAAUAUCUGGUACCAAGUAUAUUUAUUCUAGUUACUCCAAUUAUUGGCUGAAAUAUUGGCUAGCAAAUUUGACGAGUCAAACUUGUCCACUUCUUUGUUUCCUGGCAAAAAUAUCAGCAAAAAUAAUGACAUUCUCUAAUAAGCUAAUGCUAAUAUGCUAAUAGCGUUGGCUUACACUAUUAGCUAGCUUGCACAUUGUUACCUUGCUUGCUUCCUAUUUUAGAAGCCCCAGGGAGCUCUCGGCAUAGCUUUAAGAGAGUUUAGUGUUUAUCAAAAAUGUGGACCAGGAAACCCAAAUAAUGACCUCAAAGACAUCUUUAUAACACCGAGGAGAGCGUUUCAGAAUCAGGUGACAGUUCUCAGGGAAAGAGUCCAGUCGAACAGAAAGGUUAGUAAUCUUUGUUGCAAGCAAGCUGCUGGAUUUCAGAUCUGUUAGUGCUUUUUUAUCCCUGUUAAUAAUGUAGUUUCCUAUCCUAAUUUAUGUACGCACAUAAGCUUUACCUAACCAGAUGUUGUUUUUUUUAAAAAUUUGAAACAGUGAUAUCUGAAAUAAUUAUUGCUACUGAGUGGUCAAUCUUUUUAAAAUGUUGUUUUCAGCCUCUGUUCAGAGCUUCAUCAGUAAUCAAGGGUUAAUUUCACACCUCAGUGGAUUGCCUGCCUUAAUCUCUAUUCAGUGUAAUUAAAUCUGUCCAAUAAAGUGAGCUCUUUUCCUCUUUGUUCUCUCACAUCUCCUACUCUCUCUUUUUUUAAUUGUUUUACACCCAUCACAUCUCAUCGUCUGAACUACAGGCCAUCCAGCCUCGCUUGACAGGCAGAAUCUAUCCCUAAAAUUAAAACAUUCCUGACCGAGAUUGUAAGGGGAAAGCGAGGGAGGCAGGAAAAAUGAGCAAAAGGGAGGGAGAGAACAGGGGAGUUUGCUGAGCUUGGGAGAGG